CCGCCCUGGUUCCCCUGCCUAUUGCCUGGAGGGGCAGCCUGUGCUGAGCACAGUGAUGUGCUGUGGGGUGAAGGGAGGCAGCACGGUGGCACUGAGCUGAUCCCUGUGAGCAGGACUGGGAGCCGACAUGGAGAUAAACAUUGCUGUGCCAACCUUGGUGCUGCCAUCUACACACUGGGUAUGAAGCUGCUUUGUACAUUUGCAUCUACCUUCUGUUUCUCACCACCGCUCAAACGUUCCCUCAGAUCCCACAUUUCAGUGAGCUAUGUUUCAGAAACCUAAAGCCACUUGUGUCCUAGUGAUUCUCUGGGAAGAGGAACAAACCAAGGACUGCCUGUCUUCUGUGCAUUCCUGAUCAGGCCUGCAAGAAGGCAGCUAUAACUGAUACAACACAUAAAG
ensembl:lncRNA